AGGACACAUUGCAACGCGACAGCGACUGCGAGCGGAAGCCGCCGCCGCCGCCCGCUCCGGAGAGGCGCGCGGACAGCCGGGCGCCGUCCCCGAACACCUUGCGGUAGGAGGAGGAGGAGGAGGAGGCGGAGCACAGGGUCCUAGCACAUAGCCCUGGCUGGCCUGGAACUUGCCGUGUUGCUCAGGUUGGCUGUCGUGGCUGUCUUCUCGUGGCUGACACAGAACACCUGAACAAAAACAUCUGCGAGAGGAGAAGUUUUAGUUUGGCUUACGGUCUCCAGGGGAAGCUUCGUGAUGGUAAGGAGAAGAUGGCCUGAGCAGAGCUGGGCAUCACUUCUGCUGCAGCAGGUGGAAAACAGCAGUGAGAGACUAAGCAGAGGACUGGCAAGGGGGAGCUGGCUCUAACACCCCUAAGCCCACCACCACCAACACACGUCUUUCAACAAGGCUCAACUUCCCAAAUUACCAGCAGCUGGGGACCACCAUUCAGAGCAUCUGAGUUUAUGGGGGUCAUCUAAUUCAAACUGCCACACUGGCCUUGAACUAAUGGUAAUCCUCAGGACUCCACACACUAAGUAUUUUUUUUUUUUUUUUGAGGCAAGGUCUCACUGCAAUCCAGGCUGAUCAGGAACUCAUUCUGUAACACCAGGCUGGCCUUGAACUCACAGCGAUUUUCCUAUCUUAAUCCCCAGAGUGCUGGGAUUAAAGGCAUGCACCAUAACACCUGGGCAAGUAUUGGCAUUGUAGAUGUGUGCUUCUGACAGAUGGCCUACCCGACACCAUCCUCGAGAUCUACUAUCUCCUCAUCCAAGUAAGCAAAGCAAGAGACAUGCGAUUGUUUUUAUUAAAUGGCAGUGACCACCUGGGAAACUCAAAACUCACUCAAGUGCUGAGAAGUGACAGUGGUGUGUUUAGCCCUGAGACAUCUCAAUCCCGCCCUCCAAGCUUGGGAACCAUUGUGAGAGAGGUGGAGGAAAGAAUGUAAGAGGAGCCAAAGGAAGGGGAGAAGCUUUGCUAUUCUGUCUUCCAGACCCAAAGUGGCUGAGAACUACCUACACAAGACCUGCGUAAGAGGAGGGGGA